rnacentral:rRNA from 1 species
GAUGAACGCUAGCUACAGGCUUAACACAUGCAAGUCGAGGGACCGGCGCACGGGUGAGUAACACGUAUCCAACAUGCCCUUUACUCGGGGAUAGCCUUUCGAAAGAAAGAUUAAUACCCUAUAUAUAGGAUGGGGAUGCGUUCCAUUAGGUUGUUGGGUAGGUAACGGCUCACGAAGCCUUCGAAGGAUAGGGGUUCUGAGAGGAAGGUCCCCCGCAUUGGUAGUGAGUCACGGUCCAAACUCCUACGGGAGGCAGCAGUGAGGAAUAUUGGUCAAUGAGCGCUGGCCUGAACCAGCCAAGUAGCGUGAAGGAUGAAGGCUUAUGGGUAUUAAAAAUCUUUUAUAUAAGAAACUGUAUUAUAUGAAUAAGGAUCGGCUAACUCCGUGCCAGCAGCCGCGGUAAUUC